GAUGAAGAACGCAGCGAAAUGCGAUAAGUAAUGCGAAUUGCAGAAUUUCCGUGAGUCAUCGAAUCUUUGAACGCACAUUGCGCCCGCCAGUAUUCUGGCGGGCAUGCCUGUUCGAGCGUCAUUACAACCCUCAGGCCCCCGGGCCUGGCGUUGGGGAUCGGCGGAAGCCCCCUGUGGGCACACGCCGUCCCUCAAAUACAGUGGCGGUCCCGCCGCAGCUUCCAUUGCGUAGUAGCUAACACCUCGCAACUGGAGAGCGGCGCGGCCAUGCCGUAAAACACCCAACUUCUGAAUGUUGACCUCGAAUCAGGUAGGAAUACCCGCUGAACUUAAGCAUAUCAAUAAGCGGAGGA
rnacentral:misc_RNA from 1 species